rnacentral:rRNA from 1 species
GUGGGGAAUAUUGGACAAUGGGCGAAAGCCUGAUCCAGCCAUGCCGCGUGUGUGAAGAAGGUCUUCGGAUUGUAAAGCACUUUAAGUUGGGAGGAAGGGCAGUAAGUUAAUACCUUGCUGUUUUGACGUUACCGACAGAAUAAGCACCGGCUAACUCUGUGCCAGCAGCCGCGGUAAUACAGAGGGUGCAAGCGUUAAUCGGAAUUACUGGGCGUAAAGCGCGCGUAGGUGGUUUUGUAAGUUGGAGGUGAAAUCGCCGGGCGCAACCUGGGAACUGCCUCCAAAACUGCAUGACUAGAGUACGGUAGAGGGUAGUGGAAUUUCCUGUGUAGCGGUGAAAUGCGUAGAUAUAGGAAGGAACACCAGUGGCGAAGGCGACUACCUGGACUGAUACUGACACUGAGGUGCGAAAGCGUGGGGAGCAAACAGGAUUAGAUACCCGAGUAGUCC